AGUGAACGCUGGCGGUAGGCCUAACACAUGCAAGUCGAACGGCAGCACAGUAAGAGCUUGCUCUUACGGGUGGCGAGUGGCGGACGGGUGAGGAAUACAUCGGAAUCUACUUUUUCGUGGGGGAUAACGUAGGGAAACUUACGCUAAUACCGCAUACGACCUACGGGUGAAAGCAGGGGAUCUUCGGACCUUGCGGGAUUGAAUGAGCCGAUGUCGGUUUAGCUAGUUGGGGGGGUAAAGGCCCACCAAGGCGACGAUCGGUAGAUGGUCUGAGAGGAUGAUAAGCCACACUGGAACUGAGACACGGUCCAGACUCCUACGGGAGGCAGCAGUGGGGAAUAUUGGACAAUGGGCGCAAGCCUGAUCCAGCCAUACCGCGUGGGUGAAGAAGGCCUUCGGGUUGUAAAGCCCUUUUGUUGGGAAAGAAAAGCAGCAGGUUAAUACCCCGCUGUUCUGACGGUACCCAAAGAAUAAGCACCGGCUAACUUCGUG
rnacentral:rRNA from 1 species